rnacentral:rRNA from 1 species
UAGGGAAUCUUGGACAAUGGGCGAAAGCCUGAUCCAGCCAUGCCGCGUGAGUGAUGAAGGCCUUAGGGUUGUAAAGCUCUUUCGCCAGGGAGGAUAAUGACGGUACCUGGAUAAGAAGCCCCGGCUAACUUCGUGCCAGCAGCCGCGGUAAUACGAAGGGGGCUAGCGUUGUUCGGAAUUACUGGGCGUAAAGCGCACGUAGGCGGCUUUCCAAGUUGGAGGUGAAAUCCCCGGGCUUAACCCGGGAACUGCCUCCAAAACUGAAAGGCUAGAGUCCGAGAGAGGUGAGUGGAAUUUCCAGUGUAGAGGUGAAAUUCGUAGAUAUUGGAAAGAACACCGGUGCCGAAGGCGGCUCACUGGCUCGGUACUGACGCUGAGGUGCGACAGCGUGGGGACCAAACA